rnacentral:lncRNA from 1 species
ACUCUGUAGACCAAGCUGGCCUCAAACUCAGAAAUCAGCCUGCCUCUGCCUCCCAAAUGCUGGGAUUAAAGGCGUGUGCCACCACACCCGGCUUGACAUGAUGUUCUUGAAUGAGGAACAAUCAUCUCCCAUUUCAGGCCUGCAUGACAAGAACGCUGGGAACUGAACUCAAGAAGAACAGUAAGCAUUCUUAUCCAUGGAGCCAUCUUUCCAGCUUGACAAUCUAGUUCUUAUGAUAGGCUCUGAAGGUAGUUAAUUAUCAAAGUCUAGAAUUGAUAGAGUCUUUGGGUAGAAAUAGGAAAUUUACCUCAGAUCUUUGCUCUUACUGCCAGCAUCAAGGACUAAUUGGCUCUAAGUUUUCUCACACUUAAAAAUUAGCCUCUGCUGUGUGGUAAAAGUUCUACAUAACACUCUCUCCCUACACCCCCCACAUGCAGUAAAGCACCUUUAUUUUAUUCAUUAUUUUAUUUUAGGGCUAGAAACAGAACCCAGGACCUUGCACUUCCUAGGCAAAUAUUCUACCAUUAAUCUAAAUCCCCAACUGCACUACGUUCUUUUAAUUUGGGGCCUUUUUGUUUGGUUGGUUUGGGAUUUUUUUUUUCUUUUGCUUGUAUCUAUUUGGCAUGUGUACCUGUCUUCAUGCAUGUAUGUGUGGUCAGAGAACAACUUGCCACUAGCUGGGUCCUGGAGCUAGAACUCAGGUCUUCUAGCUUGGCAGCCUUUACCUAUGGAGGCAUCUUGUGGACCCUCGCUUUACUUUGUUAAGUUGCUUGAGCACCUCCUUUCUUCUCAAAACAAGUCACUCAAGACCCAGAUCAGUAUCUUCCUUUAAGUCGCGGUCAUCUCAGUUAACAGCCGCUCAGCCCAGCCAAACAAGCGGAUCAGGAAGGAUGUUCGAUGAAGGAUGCAGAGCAAAAGAAGGAACAGGGUAGCUUAGCGGGUGUCUGUUGAGUGAAAGGCGAUUCUUCUCUGUGCUUUCUCCUGAUCUGAUGAACACUGGCAGGAAAGCUAGCUGUCUGCGCUGGGCCCUGUACCUGGCCAGCACCUCACCUGGGGCUUCAGGCUCCUUGCAAGUGGGAGGGAUUGCCCUUGUUUCCCUUUCGCUUUCUCUGUCCACCGAACUUGACUCCAGGGGCCGGAACUUGAGUUCCCACUGCGCUGCAAGACAAGAGGACGAAGGAGACGACGGAGGGCUGCAGAGGAAAGCAGAAGAAAAAGCAAAAACUACCUGCUCACCAGAGAGGUGAAAGAGUGCCCAGGUAAGCAACAGGUGGACCCAGGAGGUGAAGGGUGCGGGGUUGUGGGAUGGUUUUGUCUGGGAGGACUCUGCGGGCUUCUCCUUGCAGGGCUUAUAUGCUUGCUUAAAGGGAGCCUUUGUAGAGUCCCGGGCACUUUGCAGGGAGGAAGAGAAAGGGGACUUGGAAACAAGGUUUCGGCUCAAGUUACGGUGAUAAGAUGCCGGAAGUAGAAUGGCUUUCUUCAGUUGAAAAGAUGCGGAAGGGGGAAAAAAAUGGUUUGAUUGUGUCUCUUGUCUGCUGGAUCAGUUUUCUGUGCGAUUCCAGGGGCAUCCAAAAACAGAAGUACUAGACCAUUCUUUACCUCCUUAAAGCCUUUGGUUUCUACAUAUAGACUGGAUAUUUGUGUGCAUUUUUAUUUGUCUGCCAAUAUAGACAUGGCCUUUUUUAUGUCAUU